UUAUGGCCAUAUCACGUUAAAACACCGGUUCUCAUAAGAUUACCGAAAUGAAGCAACGACGAGCUUGGUCACUACCUGGAAUGGUGACCGCUUGGGCAUAUCAGGUGCUGU